AAGCUCUGAGGUGUUGUACACAUUAGAUUGCAAAUCUGAAGAAGCAGGUAAACGCCUGCCAGGGCUU
rnacentral:tRNA from 1 species